AAAUGUCAAAAUUUAAAUUUUAUCUUAAAUUUAAAAUUUAAAAUUUAAAAUUUUGAAAUUUAAAAUUUGAAAUUUGAAACUUAAAUUUAAAAUUUAAAAUCUAAAUUUUAAAUUUGAAAAGUUGAGAUUUAAAAAUUCACAUAUGAAUUUAAAAUUUCAAAAUUUAAAUUUAAUGUUAAAUUUAUACUUUGAAUUUGAAAUAAAAAUAAAAAUUUAAAGUUUGAGUUCAAAAUCAAAAUCAGUUUUGGAGAUGCAGUUUUUUCCUACUACUGAUUCUGGAGCAUUCAAAAUAAGUUUUCUGAUUAUGAAAAACAAAAUCAGAUUUUUCAUAUGUCGUUUUCAAAUACUAUACUGAGCUCAAAAAUAAUUUUGAGCUCAGAAUCACUUCUAAGAAAUUAGGCGAAACACCCCCUAUA
rnacentral:lncRNA from 1 species